GAUGAAGAACGUAGCGAAAUGCGAUAAGUAAUGCGAAUUGCAGAAUUUCCGUGAGUCAUCGAAUCUUUGAACGCACAUUGCGCCCACUGGUAUUCCGGGGGGCAUGCCUGUUCGAGCGUCAUUAUAACCCCUCAAGCUCAGCUUGGUGUUGGGGCCUGCCGACUGGCAGCCCUUAAAAUCAGUGGCGGCGCCAUCUGGCUCUAAGCGUAGUAAUUUCUCUCGCUAUAGAGUCCCGGUGGAUGCUUGCCAGCAACCCCCAACUUUCUAUGGUUGACCUCGGAUCAGGUAGGGAUACCCGCUGAACUUAAGCAUAUCAAUAAGCGGAGGA
rnacentral:misc_RNA from 1 species